UACGUAGGGCGCAAGCGUUGUCCGGAAUUAUUGGGCGUAAAGAGCUCGUAGGCGGUCUGUUGCGUCUGCUGUGAAAACCCGGGGCUUAACCCCUGGCUUGCAGUGGAUACGGACAGACUAGAGGUAGGUAGGGGAGAAUGGAAUUCCCGGUGUAGCGGUGAAAUGCGUAGAGAUCGGGAGGAACAUCAGUGGCGAAGGCGGCCUUCUGGACCAGUACUGACGCUGAGGCACGAAAGCGUGGGGAGCAAACAGG
rnacentral:rRNA from 1 species